rnacentral:tRNA from 1 species
GGGGGCAUAGCUCAGCUGGGAGAGCACCUGCUUUGCAAGCAGGGGGUCGUCAGUUCGAUCCCGUCUGCCUCCACCA